rnacentral:rRNA from 1 species
AACCCCUAGAGGUUCCAGCCCGCGUUCAAAUUUGUGUAAUGAUCCUUCCGUAGGGGGGACCUGCGGAGGGAUCAUUACACAAAUAUGAAGGCGGGCUGGAACCUCUCGGGGUUACAGCCUUGCUGAAUUAUUCACCCUUGUCUUUUGCGUACUUCUUGUUUCCUUGGUGGGUUCGCCCACCACUAGGACAAACAUAAACCUUUUGUAAUUGCAAUCAGCGUCAGUAACAAAUUAAUAAUUACAACUUUCAACAACGGAUCUCUUGGUUCUGGCAUCGAUGAAGAACGCAGCGAAAUGCGAUAAGUAGUGUGAAUUGCAGAAUUCAGUGAAUCAUCGAAUCUUUGAACGCACAUUGCGCCCUUUGGUAUUCCAAAGGGCAUGCCUGUUCGAGCGUCAUUUGUACCCUCAAGCUUUGCUUGGUGUUGGGCGUCUUGUCUCUAGCUUUGCUGGAGACUCGCCUUAAAGUAAUUGGCAGCCGGCCUACUGGUUUCGGAGCGCAGCACAAGUCGCACUCUCUAUCAGCAAAGGUCUAGCAUCCAUUAAGCCUUUUUUUCAACUUUUGACCUCGGAUCAGGUAGGGAUACCCGCUGAACUUAAGCAUAUCAA